AAUGAACGCUGGCGGCAGGCCUAAAACAUGCAAGUCGAACGCCCUAGCAAUAGGGAGUGGCGCACGGGUGAGUAACAUGUGGGAAUAUGCCUUUUGGUACGGAACAACGUUUGGAAACAAACGCUAAUACCGUAUGGUCCCUCCGGGGUAAAGAUUUAUCGCCAAAAGAUUAGCCCGCACUAGAUUAGCUAGUUGGUAAGGUAAUGGCUUACCAAGGCGACGAUCUAUAGCUGUUCUGAGAGGAAGAUCGGCCACACUGGGACUGAGACACGGCCCAGACUCCUACGGGAGGCAGCAGUUAGGAAUAUUGGACAAUGGGCGCAAGCCUGAUCCAGCCAUGCCGCGUGAGUGAUGAAGGCCUUCGGGUUGUAAAGCUCUUUAGCCGACGAAUAUAAUGACUGUAGUCGGAGAAUAAGCCCCGGCUAACUUCGUGCCAGCCGCCGCGUAAAAC
rnacentral:rRNA from 1 species